GGGGAAUAUUGGACAAUGGGCGCAACCCUGAUCCGGCCAGGCCCGGGGGGGGAAGAAGGCCUUGGGGUGGUAAAGCCCUUUGGUGGGAAAAGAAAACAAGCAGGCAAAUCCCCGGUUUUCUUGCAGGACCCCAAGGACAAAGAACGGGCAAACUCCUACCAGCAGCCGCGGUAAUACGAAGGGUGCAAGCGUUACCCGGAAUUACUGGGCGUAAAGCGUGCGUAGGUGGUGGUUUAAGUCCGUUGUGAAAGCCCUGGGCUCAACCUGGGAACUGCAGUGGAUACUGGAUCACUAGAGUGUGGCAGAGGGUAGUGGAAUUCCCGGUGUAGCAGUGAAAUGCGUAGAGAUCGGGAGGAACAUCAGUGGCGAAGGCGACUGCCUGGGCCAACACUGACACUGAGGCACGAAAGCGUGGGGAGCAAACA
rnacentral:rRNA from 1 species